GACGUAGGGCGCGAGCGUUGUCCGGAUUUAUUGGGCGUAAAGAGCUCGUAGGUGGUUUGUCGCGUUGUUCGUGAAAACCUGAGGCUUAACCUUGGGCGCGCGGGCGAUACGGGCAGACUGGAGUACUGCAGGGGAGACUGGAAUUCCUGGUGUAGCGGUGGAAUGCGCAGAUAUCAGGAGGAACACCGGUGGCGAAGGCGGGUCUCUGGGCAGUAACUGACGCUGAGGAGCGAAAGCGUGGGGAGCGAACAGG
rnacentral:rRNA from 1 species